GAACAAAUUAUCCAACUUGAGGAUUCGCAAGGUAGAGUCACCCUGAAAGUAUCAAAUGAGUUGGCAGAAAGGAUUGCAACUGAUCAACAUUACUUGGUACAGGUGCAGAGGGAUGUGCGAAUGUACCAAAAAACACAAGCCCCAAUAUUUGUGCCCCUGGGUCCAAUUCAGAGGCCAUCACCACCAGCCCCCUCUGCAGGUCCAAGCGCUGCAGGUCCAGGCGCCCACUCAUUUCAGGAUUUCCCACCAAGUACACUAUAGAAGCUGAAAAUAGAUAAAGUACAUUGAAAUGCAAGCACAAACAUGACUAAUCUAUCUGUACUCACAUUCACAGAUGUGAAACACGAAGCCACAACAUCACCCCAGAAAAUAUUCGUAAAAAAAUGGCCAACAUGCUGGUAACAUACAAGCCAGCUAAAGAUCGCAGCCGAUCAACAGGCGAGGCAAGAGUCAGCUGGGAGUACUUUAAUGUAAGAAGAAUGUAUUUGUCUUCUUCUUCUUCAUCUUUCCUGGUAGUGAUAAUUGUAUAGCCUACAUUUGUCUUACUUGGCCUAAACCAAAAUGCUUACUAAAGCAAAAGUAACAUAUGGACAAU
rnacentral:lncRNA from 1 species